UUGGUCUUCAUUUUUAUUAUUAGUUCAUUGUAUUGCUAAUUAAAUCUGGAACAUGGUGACUUAUUCCCCCUUCUAGGAUAGGAACUCGGACCGCUUCAAAAGCUCCGGUUGCUUUAUUUUCAGUCUGGCCAACUGGCCCUGUUUCUGUUUGUAAACAUACACUCAGGAAGGGCUGCGGUUCCCCCAUCUGCCUGGAUACCAGGAGAAUCCUUGAGAAGAGGCUGUCCCCACUUGGGCGGUGGGACCCAGGCCCCAGUAUUGUUUCUAAAGCUUCCCAGUUGAUCACUGUACCCAGUUGAGGACUGCUUCAUGCCAAUCCUUCAAGGAGUUGAAGGUAUCCAACAUCCCACAUAAGUAGGGUUGCCCGAUAAAAUAUAGGGCACCCAGUUAAAUUUGAAUUUCAGAUUUAAAAAAAAUCUGGCUGGGCAUAGUGGCUCACACCUAUAAUCCUAGCACUUUGGGAGGCAGAGGUGGGUGGAUCACCUGAGGUCAGGAGUUGAAGACCAGAAUUACCAACAUGAUCAAACCCCAUCUCUGCUAAAAAUACAAAAAUUAGCUGGGUGUGCAGUGUGUGCCCAUAUUCCCAGCUACUAGGGAGGCUGAGGAAGGAUAAUCACUUGAACCCAGGAGGCGGAGGUUGCAGUGAACCAAGAUUGCACCACUGCACUCUAGUCUGGGUGACAGAGCAACUCUGUCUCAAAAAAAAAAAAAAAAAUUCCAACAUUUUAGUGUAAGUAUAUUCCAAAUGUUGCACAAGACAUAUUUAUACUAAAAGUAUUCAUUGUUUAUCUGAAAUUCAAAUUUAACUGAGUGUCCCAUAUUUUUAUUUGCUAAAUUUGGCAACCCAACACACUAACCUUCUCCUCUCCAGGCUAAACAUCCUUAUUUUGGCAUCUAACAUGUUUCCAAAACACUUCACCAGUCUGUCACCCUCUAGAGUAAUGAACUGGGGUUUUGCACUUGCUUUUUGAGAGUGGCUCCAGUGAUUGGUUCCUUAGUUUUGGCCUCCUAUAUUAGCUCUUUGUACCUUGAGACUGGUGUGGGACUUUUCUGCACAAUAGACUUCUGUGGGCUCUUUCUUUCCUUGGUCCUGGGUCUUUCUAGGCACCAAAUGUGGGAGAGUGAGGAGUUACCCAGGCAGCUCCUUAUUCCUUGGAUAACCUGAUCCACAUCAGGGUACAUGUUAUAGCUUCUCAAAGUGUGAUUCUUGGAUAAGAAGUAUCAGGAUCACCUGGGAGCUUGUUAGUGUAGGGGAGGACAAAUUUGCCCCCUACACUCUUCGGUUCAAUUACUGGGGGCCUGUGAAUUAAACAACAACAGACAGAUAAUAUACAAGAGAAAAUACACACAUUUUGCUUAAUUUAAUUUAAUUUUAAUUGCUAUUUAUGUAUUUAUUUAUUUAUUUAUUUAUUUUGAGACAGGGUCUCACUCUGUCACCCAGGCUGGAGUGCAGUGGCACAAUCAUGGUGAUAGGGAGAGGAGGCAGAGAAAUUCUGGGCAGACAGGGGCAGGUCCCCGCUGAAGCCCCACCUUUGAGCCAAAGGCCUGAGACUGAGGCCCACAGUGAGAACUUAUAUCCCUGUUUUCCCGCUUAAAUGUUGCCUUUUCCUAAGCCACACAUGGCCCUACUCUGCCCCAUCCUGUGCCUAUAAAGACCCCAGCCUGAGCAGGCAGAGAGGAGAAGCAGCUGGAUGUCAGAGACUAUGGCUGGCCAUUGGAGAGAAGCGGCUUGACUUCAGAGGGACAGCCUGAUGGUGUAACUUUGCAGAAGAAUCCAACUGGAGAUGGCUGGACUUCAGGGGAAGACUACCUACCACCCCUCAUCCUCUUUUCAGCUCUCCUUCCCACUAAGAGCCACUUUCC
rnacentral:lncRNA from 1 species